rnacentral:piRNA from 1 species
AAGAAAACAUCCCACAGACUUGCCU